rnacentral:rRNA from 1 species
GGAGAUCACUGCUAUUGGAAUCCGGCUAAGGCAUGCGAGUCGAGAGGGUUCGGCCCUCGGCGGACGGCUCAGUAACACGUGGAUAAUCUGCCCUUAGGUGGGGGAUAAUCUCGAGAAAUUGAGCAUAAUACCCCAUAGUUCUAGAUUGCUGGAAUGCGUUUAAAAUGAAAGCUCCGGCGCCUAAGGAUGAGUCUGCGGCCUAUCAGGUAGUAGUGAGUGUAACGGACUCACUAGCCGACGACGGGUACGGGUCCUGGAAGGGAGUGCCCGGAGAUGGACUCUGAGACACGAGUCCAGGCCCUACGGGGCGCAGCAGCUACGAAAACUUCACAAUGCGGGAAACCGCGAUGAGGGGAUUCCAAGUGCUAAUACUUUGUAUUAGCUGUUUACUUGCCUAAAAAGCAGGUAGAGUAAGGGCUGGGUAAGACUGGUGCCAGCCGCCGCGGUAAUACCAGCAGCUCAAGUGGUGAUCGUUUUUAUUGGGCCUAAAGCGUCCGUAGCCGGUUUGGUAAACCCUUGGGUAAAUCGGGCAGCUUAACUGUCCGACUUCUGAGGAGACUGCCAGACUUGGGACCGGGAGAGGUCAGAGGUACUUCUGGGGUAGGGGUGAAAUCCUGUAAUCCUAGAAGGACCACCAGUGGCGAAGGCGUCUGACUAGAACGGGUCCGACGGUAAGGGACGAAGCCCUGGGUCACGAACCGGAUUAGAUACCCGGGUAGUCCAGGGUGUAAACGCUGCGGGCUUGGUGUUGGGGGUCCUACGAGGGCGUCCAGUGCCGGAGAGAAGUUGUUAAGCCCGCCGCCUGGGGAGUACGGCCGCAAGGUUGAAACUUAA